UAAAGUGUUUAAAAACAUAGGUAAAUACUUUAAAACCCCUUUUUAAACCUUCGUAAAUCAUUUCAAAACUUUUUACAAUAGUUUUACAAGAUUUACAAUUGUUUUUUAAGCAUAAGUAAGUGACAUUGAAUGAUUUACAAGGGAUUUUAAAAGCUUAUAAAAGGGUAAAACAUGAUUCACAAUCGUUUUUAAAGCAUAAGUAAGUGGCAUAGAAUGAUUUACAAGGGAUUUAAAAAGGGUUAGCAUGGUUUACAAUCGUUUUUUAAGCAUAAGUAAGUGGCAAUGAAUGAUUUACAAGGGAUUUUAAAAGCUUAUAAAAGGGUAAAACAUGAUUUACAAUCGUUUUUAAAGCAUAAGGAAGUGGCAUAUAAUGAUUUACAAGGUUUUUUAAAAAGAGUUAGCCUGGUUUACAAUGUUUUUUUAAGCAUAAGUAAGUAGCAUUGGAAUGAUUUACAAGGGAUUUUAAAAGCUUAUAAAAGGGUAAAACAUGAUUUACAAUCGUUUUUAAAGCAUAAGUAAGUGACAUAGAAUGAUUUACAAGGGAUUUUAAAAGUGUUUGUAUUGUUUACAAUCGUUUUAAAGCAUAAGUAAGUGACAUUGAAUGAUUUACAAGGGAUUUUAAAAGGGGUUAACAUGAUUUACAAUUGUUUUUAAAGCAUAAGUAAGUGUCAAAGAAUGAUUUACAAUGGAUUUUAAACAUUUGUAAAUCAUUUUAAAACUCUUAUAAAGUCUUUACAAGCAUUUUUUAACUCUUAGAAAAAGAAUUGUAAGUAUUUAAAACAUUUAUAACUCUUUUUGAACCAUUUUAAAUCUCUUGUGAACCUUUACAAAAGGUUUUAAAAACAUUUACAAGAGUUUUUAAAGGUUUUUCUUAUAAAUUCUUUUAAAAUAUUUUAAAAACUCUUGUACAUCUUUUAAAACCCUUUAAAAAUCCCUUGUAAAUCUUUUAAAACAUUUUUAAACCCUUUAAAAAUCUUUAAAAAACUCUUGUAAAUCUUUUAAAACCCUUUAAAAUCCCUUGUAAAUCUUUUAAACCCUUUUAAAAUCUCUUGUAAAUCUUUUAAAACCCUUUUAAAAUCUCUUGUAAAUCUAUUUCCCGCCAAAAAGAAAUUUUUUACAGGAAAAAUGGUUUCGUAAAUAAAAUUUGGCGGGAAAUUUUUUCGGCGGGAAAAAUAUUUUAAA
rnacentral:sRNA from 1 species